UACAGAGGGUGCAAGCGUUAAUCGGAAUUACUGGGCGUAAAGCGUGCGUAGACGGUUACAUAAGUCGGGUGUGAAAGCCCCGGGCUCAACCUGGGAAUUGCAUUCGAGACUGCGUAGCUAGGGUGCGGAAGAGGGAAGCGGAAUUUCCGGUGUAGCGGUGAAAUGCGUAGAUAUCGGAAGGAACACCAGUGGCGAAAGCGGCUUCCUGGUCCAGCACCGACGUCAGGCACGAAAGCGUGGGGAGC
rnacentral:rRNA from 1 species